GCUGUGCCCGACCCAUCUCCUCAACCGCUUGUGUUGGUAGCACUCGCUGACACAUCUCCAGCCAAUCACCACCCCGUGCGCAGAGUGGGGGAUGCCUCGCUAUCCGAGUCACGCUGAUGUGGUCCAUUGUGAGCGUUCUAGGACAUUAUGUGGAUGCCUAUCGCGCGUUCUCUUGCUUUUGCGUAGGAUAUUGCAGCCAUAGUUUAUUUUGCAAAAUUAUUAUAACGGAAAAAUAGCUUGCUUAAUUAGCCAGGGCCAUUUGCCAACUUUACGGGAUAUAAUUUUGAAAUAACAGCUUAUGACAGAACUGAAAAAAUCAGUGUUUACAUGUGAAGUGAUUUAAAUGCAAUGAAACUCCACCCCAGGAGCGACGUGGAAAACAUGGUUUGACUAGAGACCAUUCUAAUUCAUUCUGUCUGCUUCGGUGAGCGACAACUGUAUGGAUACGCUAGGCAUUAGUUUAAAAGCGCAAUACAAACACGCUGUAUGAAAUCACUGCGCUUUUUUGAGCUUAUCGCGCUGUUCGGCCUGGAUUUGUAAUAAAUGAGAGCUUAAAGCUGAUUCCGCUGAAACGAAAUGAAAGACGCUCGGGAAGUGCUUCUUUAGGCGCCACUCCAAGCAUUCUGAGCCCGCCUGUCCAUUUUCUACCUUCCUUGACAUAUGCCUCUCUCCGGACUGUUCAUUGCUGUGCAUACCAUCUCACAGUUCGGAAUGUAAGGAUUGCACGCGACAGUUUUGAAUAUCGAAACAAUACAAGGGGAAAAUCGUUUGUUUUGGAUUUGUUCAUCGAAUAUUGUCGCUCAUAAAAGGAAGACUGACAAAAUAUCAAGAUUCUGCGUGAUGUCACCUUGGAAUUGGAAGCACGAUUGAGUGUCUUUGUGGAGUAGAAGAAGUUGUUCUCUCAACAGCAGCAGGUGAAGGGGACGACAGGUGCAGAGUUCUAUUUCACAGAUACAUGUAUAUAUAUAUAUAUAUAUACAUAUAUAUUCAUCCUUUUUAUAUACAGUAUAAUAAAAUA
ensembl:lncRNA